ensembl:lncRNA
GAAAUGUGGUCCAGCGGGUGGAGACGGGUAGGUUUAGCGGUGGAGAUGGAAUCCAGGGGCUGGAGAUGGGUAGGUUUAGGGGUGGAGAUGUGGUCCAGGGGGUUGAGACGGGUAGGUUUAGGGGUGGAAAUGUGGUCCAGGGGGUGGAGACAGGUAGGUUUAGGGGUGGAGAUGUGGUCCAGGGGGUGGAGACGGGUAGGUUUAGGGGUGGAAAUGUGGUCCAGGGGGUGGAGACGGGUAGGUUUAGGGGAGGACAUGUGGUCCAGCGGGUGGAGGUGGGUAGGUUUAGGGGUGGAAAGGUGGUCCAGGGGGUGGACACGGGUAG